GACGUAGGGGGCGAGCGUUGUUCGGAUUUACUGGGCGUAAAGCGCGCGUAGGCGGCUAGAUAAGUUGGGUGUGAAAGCCCUCGGCUUAACCGAGAUUCCGCAUCCAAAACUGUUUGGCUCGAGUCUAGGAGAGGAGAGCGGAAUUCCCAGUGUAGCGGUGAAAUGCGUAGAUAUUGGGAGGAACACCCGUGGCGAAGGCGGCUCUCUGGACUAGUACUGACGCUGAGGCGUGAAAGCUAGGGGAGCGAACGGG
rnacentral:rRNA from 1 species